CUUUCCUCUUUGCUCCCUUGCUCUCCUUCUCCCCAUGGUAAAGAUGUGCUUGCUUCCCCUUCAUCUUCUGCCAUGAGCGUAAGUUUCCUGAGGCUUUCCAGCCAUGCUUCCUGUACAGCCUGUGGAACUAAGGUGACUACUUGGAACGUUGACUUGAGAAUUUAGAAGCCGAAUCAAUGCUCCACGGAGAAGCAUGCUGGGAUUGAUUUGUGAUGUCUGCCACGAAUAUAAGAUUGGCCAUUUGGGGCAUGAAUGCUAUUCAUGGAUUGGAUCUCCUAAGAGCCCGAAUUUCUGAGAAACCACUGAAGACCUGACCCCAGCGCUUAAUUAUUUCUCCUUUCCAAGCAUCUCUCAUGGAAGGCAUCUUGGAUGAAAAGACCUUUGGCAGCGUGGGUUUUGCAGGGACCGUCUGGUACCAGGAACUGGCCAAAUGUGAAGGUGUAAAACACAAAGUUCACACCCUGAAGAACCUUCUAGUCCAGUCGGGGAGAUGGACCCAGAAUGUCAGAUUAAGAUUGGCCUGCAUCAGCCCAAAUGGUUCCAUGUUCUUCUUUUUAAUGGCUGCAUAGUACUCCUUUGCAUGGAUGCACCACAGUUCAUUUAACCAGAGUCCUGUUGGCAGGCAUUUCAGAUGUUUGCAAUUUUUCUGUGAGACCAACACCACUGUGAUCAGCAUCCUGAAAGUCACAAAUCACUACAUAAGGACCUGCUGUAACCAGUCUGACCUCAUCUUGAUUACAGCUGCAAAGACCCUAUUUCCAAAUAGAGCCACAUUCUGAGGAUCCAGGGUGACAAAUUUUGGGAGGAUAAUAUUCCAUCUGGCACAGAAGGGAAAAGGGAAGUUUUUGUCUGAAGAAGGGGCUUGUCUGGAGUUGCUGGAGAGCCAGUGGGAUUGCAUCUUUUGCAGAGGACAGGUCCUUAAGGGCAAAAUCGCUUAAGAGUCAAAAUGGCCUUGAAAAUUCCUUGGGAAGCCGUCAUGUUGGAGCCAACCACUAUUUCUCAAUAAUUUCAGCACAGCCAGUUUUUCCUCCUGCGUUGGGACGGAUCGCUGUUUCUCCUGUCAAGCUCCAGAUACAGUAAAGUCUUGUGUUUAGGGGCCACACAGUGGAGUGGGACACUCACAGGCAGAGGGAGGAACCAGGUGCUCCUACUCAGAGACACGUGGGACCCAACGGGAGGGUUUGGCUUGGAAGAGACACCUUCAAAGUGAGUGGUGUGGGGAUUUCCCCAUCAUAUAAUGUCCCCUUUGGGGUGUGAGGGGCAAAUGUGUUUAGUUAAGUGGAUCUUAACUCAGUUAAAUUAAAUUCAUGUAUGAUGUGAGACCAGCGUGGAAAGGUCUUACCUCUUGAUUAACCAAUUGUUCUUCCCCAGUCACUCCAUUGCUCCUCUUUGAGCCAUCCAAAAAGUCACCUCAUCUUUCCAGACCUCAGGGUCCUCAUCUGUAAAUUGGGGGGCAUGUGGACUUGGACAGAAUGGGCCCUCUCUGUCACUUGGAGAGUCUGGGAUUGUAAGCUGCCCUCCGGGAGAUCAAAACACCACACGAUGCAGGUGGCACUGGACAGACGCGGGACACAGGGGCUCUGCUAAGGUCCCUGGUGCUACAGAAGAGGACGGUGAUCACCAGGCCCAGGAAGGAGGGUUGCUGGGAAUGAAGAUCGCAGCCACGCUGCACGAUGCAAGGCUAAGGUGCACGCAGUGCGCUGUGGCUUCAGGUCCCGAAAGCACAGGCCUGGGACAGCUUUUCCAGAUGGCAAGUCUGCUUUCUCCCAGCCCCAACAUGCCUUUCUGAAAUGUAAAGCAGCCCAGUCCUGGCCUCAGAAUGCUGGGGUGAACAACUGGAGAACGGGGUUCCAGCCACUGCAGAUGAAUCCAGAGGCACUAGAAACACAGAGAGAGCAAGAAGGAAAGGGAGGGGACACGAGG
rnacentral:lncRNA from 10 species